CCGGAGUUUACAACUCCCCAACCACCCUGUGAACAUAACCUUUAUGUUGCCUCGGCGGAUCAGCCCGCGCCCCGUAAAACGGGACGGCCCGCCGCAGGAAACCCUAAACUCUGUUUUUAGUGGAACUUCUGAGUAUAAAAAACAAAUAAAUC
rnacentral:misc_RNA from 1 species